GGGUCAGUAGGUUGGUCGUGCCACCGGUACGUACUGGUCUCACUGAUUCCUCCCUCCUGAAGAACCGUAAUGCCAUUAAUUUGGUGUUGCGGGGAAACAGGACUGUUACUAUGAAAAAAUUAGAGUGUUUAAAGCAAGCUAACGCUUGAAUACAUUAGCAUGGAAUAAUGAAAUAGGACGAUCGAUCCUAUUUUGUUGGUUUCUAGGAUUGACGUA
rnacentral:rRNA from 1 species